rnacentral:rRNA from 1 species
GUUGCGAACGGGUGAGUAACGCGUAGGUAACCUGCCUGGUAGCGGGGGAUAACUAUUGGAAACGAUAGCUAAUACCGCAUAACAGUAAAUGUUGCAUGACAUUUGCUUAAAAGGUGCAAUUGCAUCACUACCAGAUGGACCUGCGUUGUAUUAGCUAGUUGGUGGGGUAACGGCUCACCAAGGCGACGAUACAUAGCCGACCUGAGAGGGUGAUCGGCCACACUGGGACUGAGACACGGCCCAGACUCCUACGGGAGGCAGCAGUAGGGAAUCUUCGGCAAUGGACGGAAGUCUGACCGAGCAACGCCGCGUGAGUGAAGAAGGUUUUCGGAUCGUAAAGCUCUGUUGUAAGAGAAGAACGAGUGUGAGAGUGGAAAGUUCACACUGUGACGGUAUCUUACCAGAAAGGGACGGCUAACUACGUGCCAGCAGCCGCGGUAAUACGUAGGUCCCGAGCGUUGUCCGGAUUUAUUGGGCGUAAAGCGAGCGCAGGCGGUUAGAUAAGUCUGAAGUUAAAGGCUGUGGCUUAACCAUAGUACGCUUUGGAAAC